rnacentral:rRNA from 1 species
AUGCCAGCCAUGUUCUUCUUGGGAGACCUUCGCAAUUUGUUGUGGAUACUACACACAAGGGCAAGGAAAAUUCUUACUCUUUUCAUUUGGAACAGGAGAAAGAUCAUUAUUCUACCAAACAAAACUGAAGGAGAGCCACAAGGUCUGCCACCGAUGAGAGGAAUUCAACAUAGAAUUGGCUUAAUUCCGAGAGCAAGUCUUCCUAAUCCUCCACACUAUCGAAUGAGCCCAAAAGAGCAUGAUAUAUUGAAAGUGGAGGAAUUGCUGCGGAAGGGGCACAUUCAAGAAAGUAUUAGCCCAUGUGUUGUACCAGCCCUGCUCGCGCCAAAGAAAGAUGGAUCUUGGUGCAUGUGUACCGAUAGUAGAGCCAUUAACAAGAUCACUCUAAGGUAUAGAUUCCUUAUUCACCAUAUGGAUGAUAUGUUGGGUAAGCUUAGUGGAGCAAGAGUGCUCACGAAGCUAGAUUUAAGAAGCGGAUAUCAUCAAAUCCAUAAGACUCGGGGAUGA